CAAAAGUAAAGCUUUUUGCUAUAGCUUUGUUGUUUCGUUUCCAAAAAAUUCGUUUUAGCUGGUUUUUGCAAGUAAAAAAUAUUUAAAAACCCCCACAAAAUAGCAAAAUCAGUGGAGGAAGAGAUCCUAAAGAGUUGGGUCAUUAAAGGAGACCGAAAGGACGAAAAUUAUCCAAGAAAAAUGUGCAUGAAGUAAAAUAAAAUGGCAACAGUUCGAUGGAGUCUAAGAAUUGCCCUUCUAAAUACUGAUGCACAGCAUAGACAAGCUCUAACAUGCAGUCCACAGCUAGUAGCGUCCUUUAGAAACAUCUAAUAAACAGAGACAAUUAAAUUUUUUUAUGUAUCAUGCUUAGCAAAUAAAUAAAAUGUAAUUCUUGAAAAAAA